rnacentral:rRNA from 1 species
AUCAAUAAGCGGAGGAAAAGAAACUAACAAGGAUUCCCCUAGUAACUGCGAGUGAAGCGGGAAAAGCUCAAAUUUAAAAUCUGGUGGUUUUGCCAUCCGAGUUGUAAUCUGGAGAAGCGUUUUCUGUGCUGGACCGUGUACAAGUCUCUUGGAACAGAGCGUCAUAGAGGGUGAGAAUCCCGUCCAUGACACGGACACCCAGUGCUAUGUGAUACGUUUUCAAAGAGUCGAGUUGUUUGGGAAUGCAGCUCAAAAUGGGUGGUAAGCUCCAUCUAAAGCUAAAUAUUGGCGAGAGACCGAUAGCGAACAAGUACCGUGAGGGAAAGAUGAAAAGCACUUUGGAAAGAGAGUUAAACAGUACGUGAAAUUGUUGAAAGGGAAACGCUUGAAGUUAGUCGCGUCUUACUUGACUCAGCCUUGCUUCGGCUUGGUGUAUUUCAUGUGAGACGGGUCAACAUCGAUUUUGACCGGCAGACAAGGGGAGUAAGAAUGUGGCACUCUUCGGAGUGUGUUAUAGCUUAUUCUCAUAUGUGUCGGUUGGGAUCGAGGACCGCAGCGCGCCCUUGUGGCCGGAGGUUCGCCUCACGUUACGCGCUUAGGAUGUUGGCAUAAUGGCUUUAAGCGACCCGUCUUGAAACACGGACCAAGGAGUCUAACAUGCUCGCGAGUGUUAGGGUGGAAAACCCUUGCGCAGAAUGAAAGUAAAAGUUGGGAACCUCCGCAAGGGGGCGCACCGACGCCCGGCCCAGAAGUUUACGGACGGUGCUGCGGUAGAGCGCGUAUGUUGGGACCCGAAAGAUGGUGAACUAUGCCUGAAUAGGGCGAAGCCAGGGGAAACCCUGUGUGGAGGCUCGUAGCGAUUCUGACGUGCAAAUCGAUCGUCAAAUUUGGGUAUAGGGGCGAAAGACUAAUCGAACCAUCUAGUAGCUGGUUCC